rnacentral:rRNA from 1 species
UACGUAGGGUGCAAGCGUUAAUCGGAAUUACUGGGCGUAAAGCGUGCGCAGGCGGCUUUGCAAGACAGAUGUGAAAUCCCCGGGCUUAACCUGGGAACUGCAUUUGUGACUGCAUGGCUGGAGUGCGGCAGAGGGGGAUGGAAUUCCGCGUGUAGCAGUGAAAUGCGUAGAUAUGCGGAGGAACACCGAUGGCGAAGGCAAUCCCCUGGGCCUGCACUGACGCUCAUGCACGAAAGCGUGGGGAUCGAACAGG